AAAGCGCAAGCGCCAGAGGGUGAGUCUGCGGCCUAUCAGGUAGUAGGUGGUGUAACGGACCACCUAGCCUAAGACGGGUACGGGCCUUGAGAGAGGGAGCCCGGAGAUGGGUUCUGAGACACGAACCCAGGCCCUACGGGGCGCAGCAGGCGCGAAACCUUCGCACUGCGCGAAAGCGCGACGAGGGGAGCCCGAGUGCCUCUCCAUUUCGGGGAGGCUUUUCACAAGCCUAAAAAGCUUGUGGAAUAAGGGCUGGGCAAGACGAGUGCCAGCCGCCGCGGUAAUACCCGCAGCUCGAGUGGUGGUCGCUUUUAUUGAGCCUAAAACGUUCGUAGUCGGCCUUGUAAAUCCCUGGGUAAAUCGGACCGCUUAACGGUUCGAAUUCCGGGGAGACUGCAAGGCUAGGGACCGGGCGAGGUCAGAGGUACUUUCGGGGUAGGAGUGAAAUCCUGUAAUCCCGAAGGGACCACCUGUGGCGAAAGCGUCUGACUUGAACGGCUCCGACGAUGAGGAACGAAGGCUAGGGGAGCAAACCGGAUUAGAUACCCGGGUAGUCCUAGCUGUAAACUCUGAACGCUUGGUGUGGCCUGUCCUUCGGGGGCAGGCUGUGCCGGAGCGAAGGUGUUAAGCGGGCUGCUUGGGGAAUACGGCCGCAAGGUUGAAACUUAAAGGAAUUGGCGGGGGAACACCGCAACGGGAGGAUGCGUGCGGUUUAAUUGGAUCAACGCCGGAA
rnacentral:rRNA from 1 species